UUCAAUUGAUCCCUCCGACGCUGCUCUUCCUCGUCCGCGCCGGAUCUCGGUCCUGGGAUUCUCUCCCUCCGAGCUGCUGUACCGCCCGUUCCCCUUCUUCACGAUCGUGCUUCUGGACAGGGGUUCGUUGUAGCUACUUCAGGCAUGGUGCACAUACAUCUGGUUGUGGUGGUCGGCAAGCAACCUUCUGUCCUUACUGAAUGCGUCAUCUACCUUCUGGUGGUCGUCAAUCGAUGGUGUACACCGUGUCCAGCAUGUGGUUGUGCUUGCACAUUUAAUGCUGCCGAGAAGCUACACAUAUUUGGCAUUCGCGGCCGAGCCGCUCACCAUCAUGGAGUUGGAUCACACUAGACCUCAAUGGCAUGCUCUGCCAUGUGGCCUCCUUGAUGCUGGUCGUCGAGCGCUGAUUCGACUAGACUAUCGCGCACAUAUUGAUCACAUUUGAUAAACAAGCUAUGAUCGUUGGAGAGUACCCCUCAGAUAUAUAGGUUAAUUUGACUCGAUUUUGCAGGUGCUUUGAUCUGAAGGAUUGGUUUGUGAUACGUCAUUGAUUCAUCGUUGACACAAAUAUGAAAGCACACUAGAAAGAUAAACAUAGGAGAUCAUAGCUGAAGGGUGGGUUUCCAACGACGGUGGUGUGCUGCCUUUCUUCCAGUGCCAACAAGAUGGCUAGUUUGUCGCCCCGUAACCCUGGUGGUGGGCUCCCAUGACUGCCUCCUGGGUUACCUACCACUUAGUGUUGUACUUGCACAUGUAAUGUUGCGCAAGAAGGUACACAUACUCGGGCCAGGCCAUGAGCCGACUCACUAUGAUGAAGCCUGACGCUAAGUUGGAUCACACUGGGGCUUCAAUGAUAUGCUCUGCCCGGUGGCCUCCAGGAUCAGCCUCGACUCAUGAAGAACACCCAAGGGACCUGACUUAAUGAUGAGGAUGAUGUUGGAGGAAUCGGAGUGGUCACUGAAGAUCGUGGACUCGCAUCCGCCAUUGCUGGAAGUUUGAACUUCGAGAGGGCAGAGCGAUCCCGUAUGAGAAGACCACCGAUGUGAUCAUAGCAUUUUCUCUGGGCGUACCUUCUGGCACGACACCGCCAUCCGACACAAGUUUGGCCGGCGAAGCAGCUCUGCUUGCUCCGGCACUUACUUUGACGCCUCCGGUGGCUGUUGGUCCUCUUCUCUGCUCUCUCUCAAGAUCUAUGACACUUCAUACUUGUUGAGGUAGUGGAAACUUACUUGUACAAGUGGAUCAUUUCUAGUGGAUAUUUUUUGCUAGUUUUUUGGAUCCCAAAUCUUGGUACUGGCCAGCUGGUGUUUGUUUUUGUGUAUUGAAAGAAAAACAUGAUUUUUCUUGGUGCUCGGGCAGAUUUCACCUUCUAAUCAAUAUUUGUGCCAUCUAA